rnacentral:rRNA from 1 species
GAUGAACGCUGGCGGCGUGCUUAACACAUGCAAGUCGAACGGAACUACUCCAAUGAGAGUCUUCGGAAAGGAUUUGGUUUAGUUUAGUGGCGGACGGGUGAGUAACGCGUGGGUAACCUGCCCUAUACAGGGGGAUAACAGUUGGAAACGACUGUUAAUACCGCAUAAGCGCACAGGAGCGCAUCCUCCGGUGUGAAAAACUCCGGUGGUAUAGGAUGGACCCGCGUCUGAUUAGCUGGUUGGCGGGGUAACGGCCCACCAAGGCGACGAUCAGUAGCCGGCCUGAGAGGGUGAACGGCCACAUUGGGACUGAGACACGGCCCAAACUCCUACGGGAGGCAGCAGUGGGGAAUAUUGCACAAUGGGGGAAACCCUGAUGCAGCGACGCCGCGUGAGCGAAGAAGUAUCUCGGUAUGUAAAGCUCUAUCAGCAGGGAAGAAAAUGACGGUACCUGACUAAGAAGCCCCGGCUAACUACGUG